UCGACACAGUAUCGAUGGCGACGUCACUAACACUGACGUGUGGAAGCAGUCUGAUUCAUUAACGAGUCAGCCCGGCAUAAGCCGCGAACGGGUGAAAUCCCCGGGGUGCUUCGCAAGAACUCAACUUAUUCGCCACCCCGAUGCACAGAUACUUGUCG
rnacentral:sRNA from 21 species